GCGGAGGACGGGUGAGUAAUGCCUAGGAAUCUGCCUGGUAGUGGGGGACAACGUCUCGAAAGGGACGCUAAUACCGCAUACGUCCUACGGGAGAAAGCAGGGGACCUUCGGGCCUUGCGCUAUCAGAUGAGCCUAGGUCGGAUUAGCUAGUUGGUGAGGUAAUGGCUCACCAAGGCGACGAUCCGUAACUGGUCUGAGAGGAUGAUCAGUCACACUGGAACUGAGACACGGUCCAGACUCCUACGGGAGGCAGCAGUGGGGAAUAUUGGACAAUGGGCGAAAGCCUGAUCCAGCCAUGCCGCGUGUGUGAAGAAGGUCUUCGGAUUGUAAAGCACUUUAAGUUGGGAGGAAGGGUUGUAGAUUAAUACUCUGCAAUUUUGACGUUACCGACAGAAUAAGCACCGGCUAACUCUGUGCCAGCAGCCGCGGUAAUACAGAGGGUGCAAGCGUUAAUCGGAAUUACUGGGCGUAAAGCGCGCGUAGGUGGUUUGUUAAGUUGGAUGUGAAAGCCCCGGGCUCAACCUGGGAACUGCAUUCAAAACUGACAAGCUAGAGUAUGGUAGAGGGUGGUGGAAUUUCCUGUGUAGCGGUGAAAUGCGUAGAUAUAGGAAGGAACACCAGUGGCGAAGGCGACCACCUGGACUGAUACUGACACUGAGGUGCGAAAGCGUGGGGAGCAAACAGGAUUAGAUACCCUGG
rnacentral:rRNA from 1 species